GUUGCAUUGGCCUGCCAGUAAGAACGGCCAGAACGCAACUGAUCUCCAGAUAAUGUCUGUCCUGCAUUGCUGGAUUAUAGUUUUCUUGCUUCUGAGUCUGCCCCCUAGUGGGUUUUGUGGCCUCCUAAAGGGCAGGGUGAUGCUUGGUAGGCAGAGCUGGGUCUUGAUCUCUGGUGGGCUGGGCCUUAUCUAGGGGGUGUGUUCAGAGGCAGCUGUGGGCUCUUUAGUCUUUAGGUAGCCUGACUACCGGCAGGUGAGGCUGUUUCCCAGCCCAGCAGCCCAGUUAGUUAUUUGGCCUGAAGCAUUGCAGCACUAGUGCCUGAAGGCUGUUGGAUGGUACUAGGUUUUAGAGCUAAGGAGCCAAGGUAUCAGCAGUCGGGAGCAGUGGUAUUCACAUGGCUGAAUGUUUCCUCUGUCCCCAGAGUGAAUAGCAGUAGCCCCUGCCUCUCCAGUAGACCAGCAGGUUUGGCCACUGAAAGCCUCUUUAUGUUGACUCACACGUCUUUGUAACAUGUCCCCCAAGUUUUCUUCUUGUUCAAGAUACACUCUUGCCUUAGAAGACGGGAUAAGGAUGGAAGAAAACAACAGUUUGAGCACCUACCAUGUAACUGGAAGAAGUGGGGGAUGCCCAGUGCCAUUAUGGAUCCAAGGGCUGCAAAUGCGGAAGAUGACAGUCACAGAAGAUGAAAAAUCCAUAAAAGGUGUGGGAUAAAGCUGUUCCAAAUCGAGGGCUUGUGAAAGGAGAAAAAAUUUACAGGCUUUGAGGAUGGCAACCUUUGUUUGGAAUCAGAGAAUCGUAGACUGUGAGAAUCAGAGGGGACCUCAGAGAUUAUCUGGUCUGACCCUCCCAUUUUACAAGUUACGUAACCAAGGCCUCUUAGUGAAAGAUCCUGUGAUUGAUGCCUGUUUCGACACCUGGAGCCCUGUGCCAGAGGAGAGCAAGGUCAAGAACCACAAAGAUCAAGAAACCAUGUGCAGUGGUAUCAACCCUGAGAAAGCCACCACUAAUUCAAUGGCUCCGAGAAAGUAUGCAACAGUGGGUGCUACCAAAUCUUAAAAAAUACUAAAUUCUUGCUGCACUACGAUUCCUCUGCACUUGAAGAUGUUGUCACAUGCCAUGAAAACUCAAGGCUUCCAUCCAAGGCAGUAUUUGUUGACACUGGUAUAUCUUGACAUUUGAAGGCAGGUUCACACAAGCAUUCAUGAUCAUUCUAACUGCCAUUUGCUUGCCAGCAUUAAUGGAACUUACUUUCUCUCAGACGUUUUGAUUAAAGUUGCAUGUAAUUUAUAUAGAAAUUUAUAAAAAAUUUUAGAAUUGUGAAGAUUCAAAGUUUCAUGAAUAAACACAGUGUAUCACUCCAUCUAUUAGGUAUUUUUCACAUCUAUCAAUAAAAUUUAUUUCUUUCAUCUGUCAAAUUCUAAAAGUUUUGUUGCUUUUAGAAACUAUAUUUCUUAAAUUCUAUUUUUGAAUUGAUCAUUGCCAGCACAUACAAAUAUUACUAAUUUUUAUGUUUAUCUUCUAUUUUAAAAUCUUGAUAUUUCUAAUACUUUGUAGACUCUCUUGAAUUUUUUAAUGCUGAAAAAAAUUAUAAAAACUGUUUUCCUUCCUUCUUUCCAAUAUUUACACAUUUUGUUUCUUUUUCUUCUUUUAUUGUAUUGAUUAGGAACUACAGGAACAUGUUAAAUGAAAGUAUCAAUAGCAGGAAUCAUAAAUUUGCUUCUAACUUUAAAGGUUAUCUAAAGUUUUACCACAAUGAAAGCUAUUUUCAGUAGGUUUUUGAGAAAUAAUAUUUUAUUAAGGGAUGAUUUCUUUAUUUUGUAUUUUGGUAAGCUCAUUCCCUAUUUUAAUAUCUGCAAUGAAUAUUAAAUUUUAUUAAAGUUCCUUUUCUGUGUUUAUUACAAUGACCACAUACCAUUCCCUUUACUCUUUUUAUCUCAUAACUUAUAUAGAGAGAUUUUCAAAUAUGAAAUUAUCCUUACUUGGUUUAAUAUAGAUAUAAAUUUCUUAAUAUACAUAUUGAUUUUGUUUAAUAAAUAUAUGAAAGUAUCUAUUAUCUGUUUAGCUCCUAAAUAUAUUUUAGAUAUUUAAUAUAUUCAUUGGUAAUAUAGUAGAAUAUUUCUUCAUAAUGAAUUAUGCUUGCAUAGUUUUCAUAAGUAAAUAAGCAGGUAAAUCAUCUACAUCACAUGUAUUGAUCUUAUAUAUAAAUAUAUACCUAUGAUUUAAUAUACUUUGGCAUUAUAUACUUAAUACAAUGUUGAUAUACAAUGAGUAAUAUUAUCUAUAGGAUGCUUGCAUCAAUGCAAUUUUAUUUUCUUGAUCUAUUCUCAUCGGGUUAUAUUAUCUAAAUUAUUCUAACCUAAGAGAGUGAGCAAGACAUUUCCACCUCUUUUAUUACCUGAAAUGAUUUACAAAACACAUGGUUGCUUAGGACUGGGGAAAUGGAAAAAUUGGAGAUAAUAGUUAAUAUAUAAAGAGUGUUUUGGGGGUGGUGAAAAUGUUCUGAAAUUGAUGGUUGUACAACUUGCAAAUAUAUCAAAAACCACUGGAUUGUACUCUUUAAAUUUGUAAAUUUAUGGUAUGUGAGUAUUCACUCAAUAAAUCUAUCAUUUUUUAAAAGAAAAACAAAGAAAACGAACGUGUUUCUUGAAGGAUGGCACAUUUCCUAUAACUAUUUUGUUGUAGUUGGGUGAGAAAAAGUUUUAAGAAUUGAUUCAAUUUUUGAUGGUUAUUAAUUUAUUUGUCUUCAACUUUUCUUAAUUAUAGCAAUCUGUAACUUCCUAGUCUAUUAUCUAGUUCAUUUAUAUUUUUAAAAUUUAUUGUCAUAAUUCUCAUCAAACCUUUAAAUGAUUGUUUUAUUUCCUGAGUAUCUAGACUUCAGCUUUCUUUUCCUUUACUACUAUCCUUUAUUUACUUUUGUCUUUCUCACCUAUGGAAACAUGGAUUUUUCUAUUUUAUUGAUUUUUUAAUAAAAAGCUUUA